rnacentral:tRNA from 1 species
GAGGGGUGGCAGAGUGGUCGAAUGCACCGGUCUUGAAAACCGACGUAGUGAAAGCUACCGUGGGUUCGAAUCCCACCCCCU